GAUAGGAAGAUAAAAGGCAUCUUUUAUCUUUUAAAAGACCUAGUAAUAGGUAUGCUUUAGGAGGGGCUUGCGCCAUAUUAGUUAGUUGGUAGGGUAAUGGCCUACCAAGACGAUGAUGUGUAGCUGGACUGAGAGGUUGAACAGCCACAUUGGGACUGAGACACGGCCCAAACUCCUACGGGAGGCAGCAGUAGGGAAUUUUCGGCAAUGGAGGAAACUCUGACCGAGCAACGCCGCGUGAAUGACGAAGUACUUCGGUAUGUAAAGUUCUUUUAUCAAGGAAGAAAAGCAAAUGGCGAACCAUUUGUUUGCCGGUACUUGAUGAAUAAGCCCCGGCUAAUUAUGUGCCAGCAGCCGCGGUAAGACAUAAGGGGCAAGUGUUAUCCGGAAUUAUUGGGCGUAAAGGGUGCGUAGGCGGUCUAGUAAGUCAGUGGUGUAAUGGCAACGCUUAACGUUGUCCGGCUAUUGAAACUGCUAAACUUGAGUUAGAUAGAGGCGAGUGGAAUUCCAUGUGUAGCGGUAAAAUGCGUAAAUAUAUGGAGGAACACCAGAGGCGUAGGCGGCUCGCUGGGUCUUAACUGACGCUGAGGCACGAAAGCGUGGGGAGCAAACAGGAUUAGAUACCCUGGUAGUCCACGCCGUAAACGAUGAGUACUAAGUGUCGGGUUAAACCGGUACUGAAGUUAACACAUUAAGUACUCCGCCUGAGUAGUACGUACGCAAGUAUGAAACUUAAAGGAAUUGACGGGACUCCGCACAAGCGGUGGAUCAUGUUGUUUAAUUCGAAGAUACCCGAAAAACCUUACCAGGUCUUGACAUGUUUUUGCAAAAUGAUAGUAAUAUCGUGGAGGUUACCAGAAACACAGGUGGUGCAUGGUUGUCGUCAGCUCGUGUCGUGAGAUGUUAGGUUAAGUCCUAAAACGAGCGAAACCCUUAUCGUUAGUUGCCAGCACGUUAUGGUGGGGACUUUAACGAGACUGCCAAUGAUAAAUUGGAGGAAGGUGAGGAUCACGUCAAAUCAGCAUGCCCCUUAUGACCUGGGCUACAAACGUGAUACAAUGGCUGUUACAAAGGGUAGCUGAAACGCAAGUUCUUGGCCAAUCCCCAAAAACAGUCCCAGUCCGGAUUGAAGUCUGCAACUCGACUUCAUGAAGUUGGAAUCGCUAGUAAUCGCGAAUCAGCAUGUCGCGGUGAAUACGUUCUCGGGGUUUGUACACACCGCCCGUCAAACCACGAAAGUUGGCAAUACCCCAAAACGGUAGCCUAACUCGUUUAUUCGAGAGGGCGCCGUCCAAUGAAAGGCCGA
rnacentral:rRNA from 1 species